AGUUCAUUUGGUGUUUUUAGUUGAGGUUGUGGUGAUUUUCAUUUAUUUUCUUUUUGUGGCUUUUCAGGCUUUGCAAGAUGUUAACAGUAUACAAGAGAAUCAAGAAGAGGCUGUGAGUAGAAGGCGGUUCUUUGCAGGCUAGACAAGAUUGAAAAAGUCUCCCAGGUUUUAGAAAAAAAAAGAGUUUUUGGUGCUAGAUUCGAUGGGAGAAGGAAGUUUUUGAGCUGUUACAAUUUAGAUCAGCCUUUCUUGAAGCAACUAAAUCACCAAGGAGGUUUUAGGUCAUUAAACACCAGUGAAAACUUCAAGCAUGUUGGUCCAAUUUUAUCAAGUGGAAGCUCUGAUGGGGUAUCAUCUCAUGUUGCAUACAAAUUGAGCAAUGAAAAGAGGAAAGAUCAAUCAUAGACAAACAGCAAAAGUUCCCUCUUUGGACUUGCUCCACUUGAAGCAAUGCUAUUUGAUAUUGAUACAACUCCGUAUGAUUUAGAUCCCAUUCAUUUCAAUGCCUUCCACAAAAUGCAGAAGGCCUGAGUCAUUUGGGUAUUGUUGUUGGAAUUGUUUUCUUGGUCUUGGGAAUCUUAUUCCAGUAUUUCAACUUCACUACAUAUUCAAAUGGUUGAAACCCUUUCAAAGAACAAGAAAGACAGAAGCCAGAACUCAGUGGAUCCCUUCCAAUAGACAUCAAAGCAUAAUAAUCUCCUUCCACCACUCAGUGGCAUAUAAAGCAUGUUAGGUAUUUUUGUAAGUUGCUAAACAAAGCAUGAUGCCACUAUUUAGAUCUCCAUGUCUAUAGAAAUAGUAUCAUCUUCCCUGCAUAUUUUAACGACUUUGUACAAAUUUCACACAAUUUUAAAACCCGCAGCAUCGCGCGGGCACCUUUGCUAGUAUAUACUAUGGGAUGAUCAUUACACAUCAAAGUUGUCUGCCAUUGGACAAUCACGAUUGUUCAAUGAACCUUAUUUGGGCUCAGAUUAUAUUAGCUCAAUUUCAAAGGAAGGAUACUUUGACCCUCAUUUUCGAAACGACAGACUAGCAGAAAAGAGUGAUGUCUAUAGCUUCGAAGUCAAAAGCCAGUUUCUCCUCCGGGGGCUAGUGCUGUGAACCUAGCAAGCUUAUUUCGAACUUCAGUGGAAGAGGGUCCCUUGGACCAAAUUCUUGAUGCUCAAAUAAUAGUUGAUGAAGCAACUUCUGAGACGGCCAAAAAGGUGGCGGAUCUGGCAAAAAGAUGUUUGGGGCUACAAAGGAAGGCAAGGCCUUUCAUGGAACAAGUAGCCGUGGAGUUUGAGGGAUUGCGCAAGUUAUGGCAGACUAUCGAAGGGGAGAAGACGUAGAACCCAGUUUCUCUUGAUAUCCCAAAGAGGCCGGACUCAUUGCAACCGUAAACAACAAUAAUAAAUUUUUUAAAUAAUAACAAACAAGGUACAUUUGUUAGUUUGAGAUAAAUAACAUGUGUGUCGCCUACUAACAAAAGAAAUUGUCAGUUUGAAAACAAGGAAAAAGAAG